rnacentral:rRNA from 1 species
GAUCCUGGCUCAGGAUGAACGCUAGCUACAGGCUUAACACAUGCAAGUCGAGGGGAAACGACGUCGAAAGCUUGCUUUUGAUGGGCGUCGACCGGCGCACGGGUGAGUGACGCGUAUCCAACCUGCCCAUCACUUGGGAAUAACCUUGCGAAAGUAAGACUAAUACCCAAUGAUAUCUCUAGAAGACAUCUGAAAGAGAUUAAAGAUUCAUCGGUGAUGGAUGGGGAUGCGU